AAGAUCAUACUUCACAGGAUCAUUUCUGUAGUAUAUCUUCACAUUCUCUCUACUUAACAGUUGAGUUGAUGCAGCCAUGAUGAAGAGGUAUAACCCUCUUUCCUGAGCGUGAGGAAGACUUGAGGAACCAAUUUCUUGUUGGUCUCUCAAGUCAUCGAUGAUCGUUCACCUCUUGCAUUUUGUGUAGGAGGCCUGGAAAGUUGGGUAUUCUGAGUGGU
rnacentral:snoRNA from 1 species